rnacentral:rRNA from 1 species
UACGUAGGGUGCAAGCGUUAAUCGGAAUUACUGGGCGUAAAGCGUGCGUAGUCGGUUAUCUAAGUCAGGUGUGAAAUCCCCGGGCUCAACCUGGGAGUUGCAUUUGAUACUGGAUAGCUAGAGUUCGGCAGAGGGAAGUGGAAUUUCUGGUGUAGCGGUGAAAUGCGUAGAUAUCAGAAGGAACAUCAGUGGCGAAAGCGACUUCCUGGACCAGAACUGACGAUCAGGCACGAAAGCGUGGGGAGCAAACAGG